rnacentral:rRNA from 1 species
AUUCCAGCUCCAGUAGCGUAUAUUAAAGCUGUUGCAGUUAAAAAGCUCGUAGUUGGAUCUUGGGCCCAGGCCUGCGGUCCGCCGUGAGGCGAGUACUGCAGUCCUGGCCUUCCUCUCGGUUUUCGCCCGGUGCUCUUAACUGAGUGCCAGGAGAGGCCGGAACGUUUACUUUGAAAAAAUUGGAGUGUUCAAAGCAGGCCUCGCGCCUGAACAGCAGAGCAUGGAAUAAUGGAAUAGGACCUCGGUUCUAUUGCGUUGGUUUUCGGAACUCGAGGUAAUGAUUAAGAGGGACUGACGGGGGCAUUCGUAUUGCGGUGUGAGAGGUGAAAUUCUUGGAUCGCCGCAAGACGACCGACUGCGAAAGCAUUUGCCAAGAAUGUUUUCAUUA